rnacentral:rRNA from 1 species
GACGAACGCUGGCGGUGUGCUUAACACAUGCAAGUCGAACGGUAAGGCCCUUUCGGGGGUACACGAGUGGCGAACGGGUGAGUAACACGUGAGUAACCUGCCCUCAUCUCUGGGAUAACAGUCGGAAACGGUUGCUAAUACUGGCUAUGAGCUUGCACGGCAUCUUGUGGGUUGGAAAGAUUUUUUUUGGUUGGGGAUGGACUCGCGGCCUAUCAGCUUGUUUGUGAGGUAGUGGCUCACCAAGGCUUCGACGGGUAGCCGGCCUGAGAGGGCGACCGGCGACAUUGGGACUGAGAUACGGCCCAAACUCCUACGGGAGGCAGCAGUGGGGAAUAUUGCACAAUGGACGGAGGUCUGAUGCAGCAACGCCGCGUGCGGGAUGACGGCCUUCGGGUUGUAAACCGCUUUCAAGUGUGACGAAGCUUUUUUGUGACGGUAGCAGUAGAAGAAGCACCGGCUAACUACGUG